UGAGAUUGUGUCACUGCACUCCAGCCUAGGCAACAGAGCGAGACUCAGUCUCACUCACUCAAUCAAUCAAUCAAUCCCAGGUCAAAGGCAGGAGUUUGGAUCCCCCAUUGACAGAGAGAAGUGAACGCAACUCUAGGAAAGGGCUCAGUGCACCUGCACUUGGGUAAGCACAGAAUUUAUUAAAUUCUAGAAUCCUGCUAGAAUGUAACACCCAGUCUUGGCCCUAGGCUCAAAUCUCUGGUGGAGAUCAGAGUCACGAACCUUCAACACAGUAACCUCUGUUGGCCUGAGUGUGCUUAUUACCAGAGGAGGCAGAGGGAAAAAUUAGAAUAUCCAGCUUUACAGGUUGAAGAAUAAACUUAAUUUCAAACUUAAAUGUUGUCAUCUUUGAAAUACUAUGUGCCUUAGUUAUUAAGGUAAUUAAAGCAAUUUGAAGAGUUAAAGCAA